GGGCGCAGCCUGAUCCAGCCAUGCCGCGUGAGUGAUGAAGGCCCUAGGGUUGUAAAGCUCUUUUGGCGGGGAAGAUAAUGACGGUACCCGCAGAAUAAGCCCCGGCUAACUUCGUGCCAGCAGCCGCGGUAAUAGAAG
rnacentral:rRNA from 1 species